rnacentral:tRNA from 1 species
GCCUUCGUGGUGUAGUGGUCAGUACGCUUGACGCGUAACCGAGAGGGGUCCGUGGUUCGAUUCCCGGCGAAAGCG